rnacentral:rRNA from 1 species
GGGUAUAGCUGGUUCUCCCCGAAAUAGCUUUAGGGCUAGCGUUUGAUAUCCCACAUGGGGGUAGAGCACUGAAUGUGUGAUGGUCGCAUCCCGCGAUACUGAUCACAAUCAAACUCCGAAUACCGUGUUGGGUAAGUCAGGCAGUCAGACAAUGGGGGAGAAGCUCCAUUGUCAAAAGGGAAACAGCCCAGACCGUCAAUUAAGGUCCCAAAAUUUAUACUAAGUGUUCAAGGAUGUAGAGACGCUUAAACAGCUAGGAUGUUGGCUCAGAAGCAGCCACCAUUCAAAGAGUGCGUAACAGCUCACUAGUCGAGUAUCUCCGCGCCGAAAAUUUACCGGGGCUAAAGUAUAAUACCGAAAUUACGGAUAAAUAUCUAAAGAUGUUUGUGGUAGGGGAGCGUUCCAUGGGGGGCGAAGCGGUACCGAAAGGAGCCGUGGACCGCAUGGAAGUGAGAAUGCCGGUGUGAGUAACGAAUGAAGGUGAGAAUCCUUCACACCUAAUGACUAAGGUUUCCUGCGGAAGAUUCGUCCGCCCAGGGUUAGUCGGGACCUAAGGCGAGGCCGAGAGGCGUAGUCGAUGGACAGCUGGUUGAUAUUCCAGCACCCGUGUAUGUGUGAUGUAGUGACAGAGGUGGCUAGCGGAUCCGGUUAUUGGAUUCUGGUCACGGCGAGGUAGUGGACGAGGAGGCAAAUCCCUUCGUCAUUAACAUGAAGACGCCAGGCGAGCGAAUGGGGCAACCCUAGUAGUGAAGUCCGUGAUGCCAACUCUCAAGAAAAGCUGCUAGCUUAAGCAUACAUGGCCCGUACCGAGAACGGACACACGUGGUCAAGGAGAGUAUCCUAUGGUGAGCGAGAUAACUGUUGUUAAGGAACUCUGCAAAAUUACUUCGUAAGUUAGCAAGAAGAAGUGCUCGUGUAACAGCGAGCCGCAGUGAAGAGGCCCAAGUAACUGUUUACCAAAAACACAGCUCUAUGCUAAGCCGUAAGGCGAUGUAUAUGGGGUGACGCCUGCCCAGUGCUGGAAGGUUAAAGGGAGAGGUCAGCGCAAGCGAAGCUUUGAACUGAAGCCCCAGUGAACGGCGGCCGUAACUAUAACGGUCCUAAGGUAGCGAAAUUCCUUGUCGGGCAAGUUCCGACGCGCAUGAAUGGUAUAAUAAUUUGGGCGCUGUCUCGACAGCAGACUCGGUGAAAUCUUAAUGCCGGUAAAGAUGCCGGCUACCCGCGACUAGACGGAAAGACCCCAUGGAGCUUUACUAUAACUUAAUAUUGAACUGUUGUACUUCAUGCACAGGAUAGGUGGGAGGCGUCGAAACUCGGAUCGUGGUCUGAGCGGAGCCAUCCUUGGAAUACCACUCUUGAAAUACGGCAGUUCUAACCUGCGGCCAUCACUGGUCGGGGGACAUUGUUAGGCGGGUAGUUUGACUGGGGCGGUCGCCUCCCAAAAAGUAACGGAGGCGCCCCAAGGUACCCUCAGUAUGGUUGGAAAUCAUACAUUGAGUGCAAUGGCAUAAGGGUGCUUAACUGCGAGACCAACAAGUCGAGCAGAGACGAAAGUCGGGCAUAGUGAUCCGGCGGUCCCGUGUGGAAGGGCCGUCGCUCAACGGAUAAAAGCUACUCUGGGGAUAACAGGCUUAUCGCUUCCAAGAGUU